UAGUAAAAGUGUCAUGGAUUAAUAAUUUUUUUUAUUUCUGGAAUUCCUGUGAAACAUGGCCCGCAAGAGAAGCAAAACUCGCACGAACCGAGAGAAAGGCAGCCAUAUAAGCUUGAAAAAGUCAAAAUCCGAUCAUGGCAGAAAAUCCAGGUCGAAAUUGGGUAAGAAAAGGGCCAAAUCGGACGCCUCGGUACGUUCCUCCAUAAUAUGGUCCUUAGCCAAAAGGGGGAAAAACAAGAAAAAGAAUGAGAGCGAAACGACCACCGUUAGCCAAACCAGCGAGAUGACGACCCAAUCGGAAUUAUCUGUGCAACCAUCCAUGAAACGUAAUUACCAUUUAACAAGUGAAUUUUGUCCGAAAACAUCGGCGGAUUGCCUUCAACCCGUGGCACCCGUACUAUCUAAAGAGGAAAUAAUUUACAUCCUCGUAGGAUUCAAACUAACUGUCUUACUAAUCACGAUGCUCGGAGGGGCCAUUUUAGCUAUCAUGAUCAAUGCUACCAUGUAAGAGAUAAAAUCUUUACUUUUUAAUGGGACACCCAAUAUAAUAUACCUCAAAUAUUUGAUAAAAUUUUUCAGAAAAAUCACUGUUUUUCGUCCAUACGUACCAAUCUGUUAAAGUUGUUUUUAUACUAAAUAUUUAUACAGUGCAUCCCAAAA